rnacentral:tRNA from 1 species
GGGCAUGUAUCUCAGAGGCAAAGUGCAUACUUUACAUGUGUGGGGCCCUAGGUUCAAUUCCUGGCACUACCA